UGGAGACAGGGACAGUACUUUUUGAGAU
rnacentral:piRNA from 1 species